rnacentral:lncRNA from 1 species
ACCAUCAAGCCACGCGGUAGUAUCAGGAUUACUUGAAUUAUAAGUAUGAUUCUUGGCCAAGUCAAGUCAGUUGUAUAUCGAUCUGUCGAUCUGUGUUAAUCUUUAGCUCAUCAGUUCACCAAUCUAACCUGAUUUAAGUUGAUCCUUGAUGAAACAUGAUACUCAGCUUAGCUUUUUAUCGAUCUGCAUUAAGGCACAUUGGGG